UAUGUUUUGGGACACUACCAGUCCUUUGUCAGAAAAAUACGGCUGUCCAGCUGGACGAUGCACAAGCAGGUAUCUGUGUGUUGACUGUUGGUGGGUGAAAAGCAGCUGUGAAGAUUCCCUGGUAAGUGGGUCUUUACUUGUACUCAACAGGCUGUGUGUUCAGUCAAGAACCAUAGACAUGCGCCUUACAGGUCACCCCUAAAAUAAUCCAAUAUUUG
rnacentral:lncRNA from 1 species